GGGAGCGCGGUGCCCUGCUGCUGGCUUGGGGAAUUCCUCCUGCGGGGCUGGGGGAUCUCUGGCUUCUCCCCUGCUUGCUGCUCUGUCUGGAUAUUGUUUUGCAAAGUCCUUAAAUAAUUUAAUUAGGGCUUCCGCUUUAAUCUUUGCAUUCUCUGAACGCAUUAAGGUCUUUGGUCGCUGGAGAGGUUUGGCUUGUCUGCUUUUCAGCUCUUCUAGACAUUGGAAAUCCCAGUUUGUGUUUGUUUUCUCUGGAUUCCUUCCCACAAGACAGAAGUGAAUUCAGCCUGGAUUGUUGGGGAGAGCCUUGGCUGGGAGUGAGGAUAAUUGCAGUGUCUGGCUGUGCCACAGAUUUACUGAUGAUUUCUUUUAAGUUAUUCACCUGCACUGUAUCGGUUUCCUCAGCUGUAAAAAUUGGGUAAUUACCUCCAUUGUAAAAUGUUAUGGGGUCUGCUGGUAAUUAUAUGAAUGAAGUGCUAAUUACAGUGAUUAUUACUUGGACCUA